GGUAGUGUGUCUGAGUGGCCGAAAGAGCACGCCUCGAAAGCGUGUGCACGGUAAUACGUGUCUAGGGUUCGAAUCCCUACACUACCG
rnacentral:tRNA from 1 species